AAGUCGAGCGAACAGACGAGGAGCUUGCUCCUCUGACGUUAGCGGCGGACGGGUGAGUAACACGUGGAUAACCUACCUAUAAGACUGGGAUAACUUCGGGAAACCGGAGCUAAUACCGGAUAAUAUAUUGAACCGCAUGGUUCAAUAGUGAAAGACGGUUUUGCUGUCACUUAUAGAUGGAUCCGCGCCGCAUUAGCUAGUUGGUAAGGUAACGGCUUACCAAGGCGACGAUGCGUAGCCGACCUGAGAGGGUGAUCGGCCACACUGGAACUGAGACACGGUCCAGACUCCUACGGGAGGCAGCAGUAGGGAAUCUUCCGCAAUGGGCGAAAGCCUGACGGAGCAACGCCGCGUGAGUGAUGAAGGUCUUCGGAUCGUAAAACUCUGUUAUUAGGGAAGAACAAAUGUGUAAGUAACUAUGCACGUCUUGACGGUACCUAAUCAGAAAGCCACGGCUAACUACGUGCCAGCAGCCGCGGUAAUACGUAGGUGGCAAGCGUUAUCCGGAAUUAUUGGGCGUAAAGCGCGCGUAGGCGGUUUUUUAAGUCUGAUGUGAAAGCCCACGGCUCAACCGUGGAGGGUCAUUGGAAACUGGAAAACUUGAGUGCAGAAGAGGAAAGUGGAAUUCCAUGUGUAGCGGUGAAAUGCGCAGAGAUAUGGAGGAACACCAGUGGCGAAGGCGACUUUCUGGUCUGUAACUGACGCUGAUGUGCGAAA
rnacentral:rRNA from 1 species